rnacentral:lncRNA from 1 species
GGACAGGCGCGAGCGCGACGGCGACCCCGAAGGCAGCCCCGAAGGCAGCCCGGGCGGUGGCGAGCUGGAUGCCAGGACCCACCCACCCAGUCUCCCCAGUGCCCCGGGCAUCCCAGCUGUACCCGGAGGUCCCCGUUGGUGAGGUGGGAUCCAGGGAAAGCAGCGUACAGCGGCUCCUUCCGGUAGAUCUUGAUAAUACUGCGGUCUUGGAUGUCCCUGGGGGGAUGCAGAGGGUCACCGCGUGUCCCCCAGCCUGCACAAUAUGGAGGGGCAGCUGCUCCAGGCAGAGAUGGGUGGCACGAGGGACGAGGACUCCUAACCCCUUCCUAAGUCCUUCGGGCUGCCCGCCACCCCCUGCACACAGCAGCUCCUGCCUGGCCCACCCCUCCUCCUCAGGCUGUUUUCCGGUUAACCUGGGCCCGGGGAACCUGCAGAGGCGGGAGGUUGGGGGGGGUGGAAGGAGCUGGGGGGAGGCCCGCCCACCCAUCCCCAGGCCGCGCCCACCGGACGUCCUCCAGCUCGUAGAAGACAUUGCGCGCCUCGUCUUUGAUGAGGAUGGCGGUGUUGGGCGACUUGAGCAUGCCCAUGGUGAGCUUUUGCGGGAACAUGUGCGCGAUGAGCGCGUGGAGCGUGUCCAGGCUGCUGACCUCGUGCGUGAUGUGCACGCGCCGCGUCUCCUCCCCGAACUGCAGGAACAGCACCCCCUGCGAAAGACACCCGAGGAGAGCGACGGGGGCUCUCGGGAGCUGCACCGGCCCCACAGCGGCACGGGCUGAGGCCCGACGCUGCCCCCGAGUGAAGGAGGGGCUCCUGCACCCCAGACUCUCCGUGUGCCUGCAGGACAGUCCCCCCAUCUCUCGCUCGGGGCCUUGGCCUCCCCGGGACACCUAGCAGCUUAGCACUGGGCAGAGGACUCAGGCACCCCCAGAAACCAGUCAGAAACCAUCUGAGCGGGAGCCUCGGGCAAGCCUGCUAUUUUAAGCUUCCAAAGAACAACAAGAAUUUGUCACCGAGCCAGCCAACUAUGGACUGAAACCUCUACAAAUUGUAAGCUAAAUAAACCCUUUGUCCUCUUAAAAAAGACCCUACUUUUGGCUGAAGCCUGGGGCUGUCACCGGGGACACAGCCUCUGCCCUUCUUACCCAGUCCUUUCCCUAAAACCAAGUUGCUGUACAUUUGUUAGGUAAUUUUUUUUUUUUCCGGUAUCAGGGACAGAACUCAGGACCUUGUGCUUUCGAGGCAGGUGUGGCGCCACUAAG